AGCGAACGCUGGCGGCAGGCCUAACACAUGCAAGUCGAACGGUCCUUCGGGACAGUGGCAGACGGGUGAGUAACACGUGGGAACGUGCCUUUAGGUUCGGGACAACCCAGGGAAACUUGGGCUAAUACCGGAUGUGCCCUUCGGGGGAAAGAUUUAUCGCCUUUAGAGCGGCCCGCGUCUGAUUAGCUUGUUGGUGAGGUAAUGGCUCACCAAGGCUACGAUCGUUAGCUGGUCUGAGAGGAUGAUCAGCCACACUGGGACUGAGACACGGCCCAGACUCCUACGGGAGGCAGCAGUGGGGAAUAUUGGGCAAUGGGCGCAAGCCUGAUCCAGCAAUGCCGCGUGAGUGAAGAAGGUCUUCGGAUUGUAAAGCUCUUUUCGACGGGGACGAU
rnacentral:rRNA from 1 species